UACAAAGGAAUUGACGGGGCCCGCACAAGCGGCGGAGCAUGCGGAUUAAUUCGAUGCAACGCGAAGAACCUUACCAAGGCUUGACAUACACCGGUAACGCCCAGAGAUGGGUGCCCCUUUGUGGUCGGUGGACAGGUGGUGCAUGGUUGUCGUCAGCUCGUGUCGUGAGAUGUUGGGUUAAGUCCCGCAACGAGCGCAACCCUCGUCCUAUGUUGCCAGCGGGUCAUGCCGGGGACUCAUGGGAGACUGCCGGGGUCAACUCGGAGGAAGGUGGGGAUGACGUCAAAUCAUCAUGCCCCUUAUGUCUUGGGCUUCACGCAUGCCACAAUGGCCGGUACAAAGGGCUGCGAUACCGCGAGGUGGAGCGAAUCCCAGAAAGCCGGUCUCAGUUCGGAUUGGGGUCUGCAACUCGACCCCAUGAAGUCGGAGUCGCUAGUAAUCGCAGAUCAGCAACGCUGCGGUGAAUACGUUCCCGGGCCUU
rnacentral:rRNA from 1 species